AGAACGAACGCUGGCGGCAGGCUUAACACAUGCAAGUCGAACGCGUGUAGCAAUACACGAGUGGCGCACGGGUGAGUAACGCGUGGAUAUCUGCCUUUUGGUUCGGAAUAACCCCGGGAAACUGGGGCUAAUACCGGAUGGUUCCUACGGGAUAAAGAUUUAUCGCCAAAAGAUGAGUCCGCGUCCGAUUAGCUAGUUGGUGGGGUAAUGGCCUACCAAGGCGACGAUCGGUAGCUGGUCUGAGAGGACGAUCAGCCACACUGGGACUGAGACACGGCCCAGACUCCUACGGGAGGCAGCAGUGGGGAAUAUUGGACAAUGGGGGCAACCCUGAUCCAGCCAUGCCGCGUGAGUGAUGAAGGCCUUCGGGUUGUAAAGCUCGUUUUGGCGGGGACGAUGAUGACGGUACCCGCAGAAUAAGCCCCGGCUAACUCGUGCCAGCAGCCGC
rnacentral:rRNA from 1 species